rnacentral:rRNA from 1 species
UACAGAGGGUGCAAGCGUUGUUCGGAAUUAUUGGGCGUAAAGCGCGUGUAGGCGGCUUAGCAAGUCGGGUGUGAAAGCCCUCAGCUCAACUGAGGAAGUGCGCCCGAAACUGCUGAGCUUGAGUACCGGAGAGGAUGGCGGAAUUCCCCAAGUAGAGGUGAAAUUCGUAGAUAUGGGGAGGAACACCGGUGGCGAAGGCGGCCAUCUGGACGGUCACUGACGCUGAGACGCGAAAGCGUGGGGAGCAAACAGG